CAAGUCGCACGGGGUAGCAAUACCCAGUGGCGAACGGGUGAGUAAUGAAUCGCUAAUGUACCCCGGACUCUGGGAUAGCUGCCCGAAAGGGCAGGUAAUACCAGAUGAGACCACGAUCAGGCAUCUGAUUGUGCUCAAAGGUCCGCCGGUCUGGGAGCAGGCGAUUUCGUAUCAGCUUGUUGGUGAGGUAACGGCUCACCAAGGCGACGACGCGUAGCCGGACUGAGAGGUUGGCCGGCCACAUUGGGACUGAGACACUGCCCAGACUCCUACGGGGGGCUGCAGUAACGAAUCUUCCGCAAUGCACGAAAGUGUGACGGAGCGACGCCGCGUGUAGGACGAAGCCCUUCGGGGUGUAAACUACUGUCAGGGGUUAGAAAGUUCUGAUCAACCCCAGAGGAAGGCACGGCUAACUCUGUGCCAGCAGCCGCGGUAAGACAGAGGUGCCAAGCGUUAGGCGGAAUCACUGGGCUUAAAGCGUGUGUAGGCGGAUUUGUAAGUACCUUGUGAAAUCCCACGGCUCAACCGUGGAACUGCUCGGUAUACUGCUUAUCUUGAGCCACUUAGGGGCUACCGGAACAAAUGGUGGAGCGGUGAAAUGCGUAGAUAUCAUUUGGAACGCCAAUGGUGAAAACAGGUAGCUGGGAGUGUGCUGACGCUGAGACACGAAAGCCAGGGGAGCGAACGGGAUUAGAUACCCCGGUAGUCCUGGCCGUAAACGAUGUCGACUAGAUCGUGGCAGCUCUGACGUUGUCAUGGUCGAAGCAAAAGCGCUUAGUCGACCGCCUGGGAAGUACGGUCGCAAGGCUAAAACUCAGAGGAAUUG
rnacentral:rRNA from 1 species